GACGAACGCUGGCGGCGUGCUUAACACAUGCAAGUCGAACGGAAAGGCCCUGCUUUUGUGGGGUGCUCGAGUGGCGAACGGGUGAGUAACACGUGAGUAACCUGCCCUUGACUUUGGGAUAACUUCAGGAAACUGGGGCUAAUACCGGAUAGGAGCUCCUGCUGCAUGGUGGGGGUUGGAAAGUUUCGGCGGUUGGGGAUGGACUCGCGGCUUAUCAGCUUGUUGGUGGGGUAGUGGCUUACCAAGGCUUUGACGGGUAGCCGGCCUGAGAGGGUGACCGGCCACAGUGGGACUGAGAUACGGCCCAGACUCCUACGGGAGGCAGCAGUGGGGAAUAUUGCACAAUGGGCGGAAGCCUGAUGCAGAAACGCCGCGUGCGGGAAGACGGCCUUCGGGUUGUAAACCGCUUUCGCCUGUGACGAAGCGUGAGUGACGGUAAUGGGUAAAGAAGCACCGGCUAACUACGUG
rnacentral:rRNA from 1 species